UUGGAGGGCAAGUCUGGUGCCAACAGCCGCGGUAAUUCCAGCUCCAAUAGCGUAUAUUAAAGUUGUUGCAGUUAAAAAGCUCGUAGUUGAGUUUCGGGGUUAGUAGGUUGGUCAUGCCUCUGGUAUGUACUGGUCUCACUGAUUCCUCCUUCCUGAUGAAUCUUAAUGCCAUUAAUUUGGUGUUUUGGGGAAUUUGGACUGUUACUUUGAAAAAAUUAGAGUGUUUAAAGCAAGCUAACGCUUGAAUACAUUAGCAUGGAAUAAUGAAAUAGGACGUUCGAUCCUAUUUUGUUGGUUUCUAGGAUUGACGUAAUGAUUAAUAGGGAUAGUUGGGGGCAUUAGUAUUCAAUUGUCAGAGGUGAAAUUCUUGGAUUUAUUGAAGACUAACUACUGCGAAAGCAUUUGCCAAGGAUGUUUUCAUUAAUCAAGAACGAAAGUUAGGGGAUCGAAGACGAUCAGAUACCGUCGUAGUCUUAACCAUAAACUAUGCCGACUAGGGAUCGGAUGAUGUUAAUUUUUUAAUGACUCAUUCGGCGCCUUACGGGAAAC
rnacentral:rRNA from 1 species